rnacentral:rRNA from 1 species
GACGAACGCUGGCGGCGUGCUUAACACAUGCAAGUCGAACGGAAAGGCCCUGCUUUUGUGGGGUGCUCGAGUGGCGAACGGGUGAGUAACACGUGAGUAACCUGCCCUUGACUUUGGGAUAACUUCAGGAAACUGGGGCUAAUACCGGAUAGGAGCUCCUGCUGCAUGGUGGGGGUUGGAAAGUUUCGGCGGUUGGGGAUGGACUCGCGGCUUAUCAGCUUGUUGGUGGGGUAGUGGCUUACCAAGGCUUUGACGGGUAGCCGGCCUGAGAGGGUGACCGGCCACAUGGGGACUGGGGAGCGGCCCAGACCCCUCGGGGGGGAAGCGGUGGGGAAAUUUGCACAAGGGGGGGAGGCCGGAGGCGGAAACGCCGGGGGGGGAAAGCCGGCCUUGGGGGUGUAAACCGCUUUCGCGUGUGACGAAGCGGGGGUGACGGUAAUGGGUAAAAAAGCACCGGCUAACUACGG